rnacentral:lncRNA from 1 species
AUAAUUUGCUGCCUUGCUGUGGAGUUGUCCCCAUGUGAGAUUAUUCUGAGCCUGGUCCCUAGCUGUGCACUGGCUGUUUCUUUGUGGUUUGUUGCUAGUGAGGCUCUAUCUUUUGAGAAACUAUCUAGAUGGCAGAGUCUCUGCCUGGUGGGAAAAGGUUUUCAGUGCUUGUCUAUUGAUCUCAUGGUUUUGUUGCAGUGGGAGAAGGAAACAGUGUGCAUGUUUAUAUGCUUAGAAGCAAAGAGAGGUCUCCUUUUCCCUGCUUUCUUAAAGGACAGCUGUAAGCAGCACUUUGAGUUAAACUUGCAGAAAAUGUUAUGGAAUAAAUCCCUCCAGUGACCACCAGCCAAGUAAGUGAAUGCCCUGGAAGUUUUAAUUCUGCACCAGGCUCCUUACCCAGGAGGCUCUCCUUCUGUAGCUGGAUAUUCUAGUCAACACCAGGACUUCUAUGUCAUUCUGCUGAACCAACAUUAUACACUUGCUGUUACCAGACACAAACAGUCUUAAAUGUCACUAGCAAGGGCUGCCUUACUUUUUGAUGACUGACUAUGACAAGUCUAAAAAACCUCCUGCAGCUUUUAUAAAAAUCCAGUAAUGAAAAAUAUCCACAGAUUAUUAAUUAUAAGCAUAUGUGGAGCUAUUACAAGCUCCAGUCAGGCAAAACAUCUUUGCAAACAUUUGUUUUUAAGCAUAUGAGAGACUUAAACCUCUUAAGAUGCUUUGCUGGGUUAAGAUCAAAAUUCCCCAAAGAGUCUAAUGCACACUUAACUGGUCUUUUAAAGCAAAACUAACUUCCUCCAGAUACUGUUAAUAAUGCUUGUACAUUAAAUAAUUUUAAAGUAGUCAUUCUCAUUCUCAAGCACUGCACAUAGAACCCAGUGUAUAAGCAAAUAAUAGGAGAGUUAGAUAAAGCUGACCCGAGAAAUUGGGUUCUGAAGUGAUAAUAUUUCAUCGCUGUACAUGCCAAGCAGCAGAUAAUGCAGUUCAGUGUAUUUUGCUUGUUUCUUUUGACUUGAGCAGAAUGCCCAAGAAGUCUAAGAUUUGGGCUGUUUAUAGACAGUUUUUGUAUCUUUUUGGCAGCAUAAUUUUCUCUGGGGCUGGAACAAGCAACUACCCUCGUUUUGUAAUA